UACGUAGGGUGCAAGCGUUUGUCCGGAAUUAUUGGGCGUAAAGAGCUCGUAGGCGGUCUGUCGCGUCGGCUGUGAAAACUCGGGGCUCAACCCCGAGCCUGCAGUCGAUACGGGCAGACUAGAGUGCUGUAGGGGAGACUGGAAUUCCUGGUGUAGCGGUGAAAUGCGCAGAUAUCAGGAGGAACACCGGUGGCGAAGGCGGUUCUCUGGGCAUGUCCUGACGCUGAGGAGCGAAAAGUGUGGGGGAGCAAACAGG
rnacentral:rRNA from 1 species